GGAACAUUAACAUAAUUAGGCUGUCACGGCCUGUCACGCCGGGGGUCGCGGGUUCGAGUCCCGUCCGCUCCGCCA
rnacentral:tRNA from 1 species